rnacentral:rRNA from 1 species
GGGGAAUUUUGGACAAUGGGCGCAAGCCUGAUCCAGCAAUGCCGCGUGCAGGAUGAAGGCCUUCGGGUUGUAAACUGCUUUUGUACGGAACGAAAAAGCUCUCUCUAAUACAGGGGGUGAAUGACGGUACCGUAAGAAUAAGCACCGGCUAACUACGUGCCAGCAGCCGCGGUAAUACGUAGGGUGCAAGCGUUAAUCGGAAUUACUGGGCGUAAAGCGUGCGCAGGCGGUUUUGUAAGACAGAGGUGAAAUCCCCGGGCUCAACCUGUGGACGGCCUUUGUGACUGCAAAGCUGGAGUGCGGCAGAGGGGGAUGGAAUUCCGCGUGUAGCAGUGAAAUGCGUAGAUAUGCGGAGGAACACCGAUGGCGAAGGCAAUCCCCUGGGCCUGCACUGACACUGAGGCACGAAAGCGUGGGGAG